AUUGAACGCUGGCGGCAGGCCUAACACAUGCAAGUCGAGCGAGCGGCGGACGGGUGAGUAAUGUAUGGGGACUGCCCGAUAGAGGGGGAUAACUACUGGAAACGGUGGCUAAUACCGCAUACUAUCGGAUAACCCAUAUGGGAUAAGCUCGUAGGGGGGGUAAAGGCUCACCUAGGCGACGAUCUCUAGAUGGUCUGAGAGGAUGAUGAGCCACACUGGGACGGAGACAUGGCCCAGACGCCUACGGAGGCAGCAGUGGGAAAUAUUGCACAAUGGUCGCAAGCCUGAUGCAGCCAUGCCGUGUGGAUGAAGUAGGCCUUAGGGUUGUAAAGUACUUUCAGCGGGGAGGCGUGACCCGCAGAAGAAGCACCGGCUAACUCCGUGCCAGCAGCCGCGGUAAUAC
rnacentral:rRNA from 1 species